rnacentral:rRNA from 1 species
CACGUAGGCGGCUUCGUAAGUCAGGGGUGAAAUCCCACGGCUCAACCGUGGAACUGCCUUUGAAACUGCAAAGCUUGAAUCCUGGAGAGGGUGGCGGAAUUCCUGGUGUAGGAGUGAAAUCCGUAGAUAUCAGGAGGAACACCGGUGGCGAAGGCGGCCACCUGGACAGGUAUUGACGCUGAGGUGCGAAAGUGUGGGGAGCAACA